GGGGUUGUGGCUCAGUGGUAGAGUGCUCAUCUAGCACAUAUGUGGUGCUGGGUUUGAGCCUCAGCUCCACA
rnacentral:tRNA from 1 species